rnacentral:rRNA from 1 species
UAACAGGAAACAGCUUGCUGCUUCUUCUGACGAGUGGCGGACGGGUGAGUAAUGACUGGGAAACUGCCUGAUGGAGGGGGAUAACUACUGGAAACGGUAGCUAAUACCGCAUAACGUCGCAAGACCAAAGAGGGGGACCUUCGGGCCUCUUGCCAUCGGAUGUGCCCAGAUGGGAUUAGCUAGUAGGUGGGGUAACGGCUCACCUAGGCGACGAUCCCUAGCUGGUCUGAGAGGAUGACCAGCCACACUGGAACUGAGACACGGUCCAGACUCCUACGGGAGGCAGCAGUGGGGAAUAUUGCACAAUGGGCGCAAGCCUGAUGCAGCCAUGCCGCGUGUAUGAAGAAGGCCUUCGGGUUGUAAAGUACUUUCAGCGGGGAGGAAGGGAGUAAAGUUAAUACCUUUGCUCAUUGACGUUACCCGCAGAAGAAGCACCGGCUAACUCCGUGCCAGCAGCCGCGGUAAUACGGAGGGUGCAAGCGUUAAUCGGAAUUACUGGGCGUAAAGCGCACGCAGGCGGUUUGUUAAGUCAGAUGUGAAAUCCCCGGGCUCAACCUGGGAACUGCAUCUGAUACUGGCAAGCUUGAGUCUCGUAGAGGGGGGUAGAAUUCCAUGUG